rnacentral:rRNA from 1 species
UUCCAGACUCCUACGGGAGGCAGCAGUGGGGAAUAUUGCACAAUGGGGGAAACCCUGAUGCAGCGACGCCGCGUGAAGGAAGAAGUAUUUCGGUAUGUAAACUUCUAUCAGCAGGGAAGAAAAUGACGGUACCUGACUAAGAAGCCCCGGCUAACUACGUGCCAGCAGUCGCGGUAAUACGUAGGGGGCAAGCGUUAUCCGGAUUUACUGGGUGUAAAGGGAGCGUAGGCGGCGAUGCAAGUCAGAAGUGAAAGCCCGGGGCUCAACUCCGGGACUGCUUUUGAAACUGUGUUGCUAGAUUGCAGGAGAGGUAAGCGGAAUUCCUAGUGUAGCGGUGAAAUGCGUAGAUAUUAGGAGGAACACCAGUGGCGAAGGCGGCUUACUGGACUGUAACUGACGUUGAGGCUCGAAAGCGUGGGGAGCAAACAGGAUUAGAUACCCCCGUA